AUGGCGGGGCAAGUGAUUAAGCGUGCCAAAUACAAGACUUACAUGAGUUCCAUCAAAGACCCAGGAACUCCUGGUCUUCUAACCAUGAUGAAGCAUAGCUUUGUGUUCAGGCCUAGUGAUCCCACCUCUCCCGCAAACCUUGAUGUCCCCUUCCAACUACUUAAAGGUCAGAAGAACACUAAAGACGGAUCAAAUAAACCACCUUGGCUUAACAUCACCAAUACUAAGGAUGAGAAUUACAUUCUUGAGUUUGAGACUUAUCCUGAUCUUCAUGCUUGCCGACAAAUUAUCGCCAAUGCCCUAGAGGCUGCAAAAGGUUCUUCUGCUACAACAAUCUUUUCUGCCUCCUCUUCUGCAUAUGAACAAUUUAGUACAGCAGAGUUAGAGCUCCGAAUCAAGCUUAUGCAAGAAGAUGGCGAACUGCAGAAACUUCACAAGCAGUUUGUGGGCAGCGGCGUCUUGACAGAAUCUGAGUUCUGGGCAACUAGGAAGAGGUUGCUUGAUGGAGAUAGCCGUAAGAAGUCAAAACAACGGGUUGGUUUUAAAAGUUCAAUGAUACUGGACAUCAAACCUGUGACUGAUGGUCGGAUGAACAAGGUUACAUUCAAUUUGACUGAUGAGAUUAAAUAUCAGAUAUUCGCCCUGAAACCAGCUGUGCACCAGGCAUUUAUUAAUCUCGUUCCCAGUAAGAUGACAGAGAAAGACUUCUGGAACAAAUAUUUCCGAGCUGAAUACCUCCACAGUACAAAAAAUGUUGUAGCAGCUGCUGCAGAAGCUGCUGAGGAUGAGGAACUGGCCAUUUUUUUAAAGGAAGAUGAAAUAUUGGCAAAGGAAACUCGACAGAAGAUUCAGCAGGUUGAUCCAAUUUUGGAUAUGGAAGCUGAUCAAGGGGAUGACUAUACACAUAUUCCAGAUCAUGGGAUAUUUCGUGAUGGCAACAAGGACAUAACUGAACAACAGAAUGAGCAAUACAGUAGGAGUCUAUCACAAGACCUCAAUAGACAAGGCACUGUUGUUCUUCAAGGAAGAAAUCUAGAUGUGGACCCAGAAGAUCCAAGAAGUAUAGCGGUGGUACUUAUGCGGUCAAGACAGGAUCCUAGUGACAGUGCUGUACAUGAGAGACUUGAUAGGAUUACCUGGAUGACUGAGAUAGAUGAUCUUCAAGAAUCUCAUGAUCAUCCGGUUGCUCCUUUAUAUAUCAAGGAUCCUCGAGACUAACUUUGACACACAACAAGCUAAUGCUCUUAGAAUUUUGGAUGACUCGUGUGGGACUGAGCAAACAAAACGCAAGCUGACUACUGAGGAAGCAUAUGGCUCCUUAAAGGAGUCCAUAUCUAACAUUAAGAGCAUUGGAUUGAGCAAUUCCACAGUUAAACCAGAAAUCGCUCUUACGGUUUUUAAUGGGCUCACCCAGAAUAUUUCAAGUACCAAAUAUCAACUUGGGAAGAAUCUUCGAGAGAGUAUUCUGGAUGGGUUGCCAAACAGAACCAAAGAGGAACUCUUACAUCGUUGGACGUCUAUUCAAGAACUACUGAGACAUUUUUGGUCUUCCUAUCCAAUUACAACUUCUUCUUUAUAUGUUAAGGUAGGCAGACUGAAGGAUGCCACGUCACAAAUUUACCGACAGCUAGAGGAGAUUAAGGAAGCUGUGCAGUCAGACUUCAGGCACCGGGUCUCCCUCCUUGUUCGUCCGAUGCAGCAAGCUCUAGAUGCUGCUUUUCAACAUUAUGAAACAGCCGGACCCUCCCGGAGUGUAGUUCUGCCCCUGCUGAAAUCUUACUUGUAA